rnacentral:rRNA from 1 species
GGAAUUCGAUUAGAGUUUGAUCCUGGCUCAGCUUGAAAGCUGGCGGCAGGCCUAACACAUGCAAGUCGAGCGGAUGAGAGGAGCUUGCUCUUCGAUUCAGCGGCGGACGGGUGAGUAAUGCCUAGGANNNNNNNNGNNNGUGGGGGACAACGUUUCGAAAGGAACGCUAAUACCGCAUACGUCCUACGGGAGAAAGCAGGGGACCUNNNNGCCUUGCGCUAUCAGAUGAGCCUAGGUCGGAUUAGCUAGUUGGUGAGGUAAUGGCUCACCAAGGCGACGAUCCGUAACUGGUCUGAGAGGAUGAUCAGUCACACUGGAACUGAGACACGGUCCAGACUCCUACGGGAGGCAGCAGUGGGGAAUAUUGGACAAUGGGCGAAAGCCUGAUCCAGCCAUGCCGCGUGUGUGAAGAAGGUCUUCGGAUUGUAAAGCACUUUAAGUUGGGAGGAAGGGUUGUACGUUAAUACCGUGCAAUUUUGACGUUACCGACAGAAUAAGCACCGGCUAACUCUGUGCCAGCAGCCGCGGUAAUACAGAGGGUGCAAGCGUUAAUCGGAAUUACUGGGCGUAAAGCGCGCGUAGGUGGUUCGUUAAGUUGGAUGUGAAAUCCCCGGGCUCAACCUGGGAACUGCAUCCAAAACUGGCGAGCUAGAGUAUGGUAGAGGGUGGUGGAAUUUCCUGUGUAGCGGUGAAAUGCGUAGAUAUAGGAAGGAACACCAGUGGCGAAGGCGACCACCUGGACUGAUACUGACACUGAGGUGCGAAAGCGUGGGGAGCAA